GUACACUCCUACGGGAGGCAGCAGUGGGGAAUAUUGGACAAUGGGCGCAAGCCUGAUCCAGCCAUGCCGCGUGAGUGAUGAAGGCCCUAGGGUUGUAAAGCUCUUUCACCGGUGAAGAUAAUGACGGUAACCGGAGAAGAAGCCCCGGCUAACUUCGUGCCAGCAGCCGCGGUAAUACGAAGGGGGCUAGCGUUGUUCGGAUUUACUGGGCGUAAAGCGCACGUAGGCGGACUAUUAAGUCAGGGGUGAAAUCCCGGGGCUCAACCCCGGAACUGCCUUUGAUACUGGUAGUCUUGAGUUCGAGAGAGGUGAGUGGAAUUCCGAGUGUAGAGGUGAAAUUCGUAGAUAUUCGGAGGAACACCAGUGGCGAAGGCGGCUCACUGGCUCGAUACUGACGCUGAGGUGCGAAAGCGUGGGGAGCAAACAGGAUUAGAAACCCGGGUAGUCC
rnacentral:rRNA from 1 species